UACAGAGGCCUCGAGCGUUAGGCGGAAUCACUGGGCUUAAAGCGUGUGUAGGCGGACUUCUAAGUACCUUGUGAAAUCCCACGGCUUACCCGUGGAACGGCUGGGUAUACUGGUCGUCUUGAGCCAUCUAGGGGCUACCGGGAACAAAUGGUGGAGCGGUGAAAUGCGUAGAUAUCGCCUGGAACGCCGAAGGUGAAAACAGUCUGCUGGGGGUGUGCCGACGCUGAGA
rnacentral:rRNA from 1 species